rnacentral:tRNA from 1 species
GGAAUUAUAGUUAAUUAUAACAUUUGAUUUGCAUUCAAAAAGUACCUUUUAGGUUAGUUUCA